AUUGAACGCUGGCGGCAGGCCUAACACAUGCAAGUCGAACGGUAACAGGAAGAAGCUUGCUUCUUUGCUGACGAGUGGCGGACGGGUGAGUAAUGUCUGGGAAACUGCCUGAUGAAGGGGGAUAACUACUGGAAACGGUAGCUAAUACCGCAUAACGUCGCAAGACCAAAGAGGGGGACCUUCGGGCCUCUUGCCAUCGGAUGUGCCCAGAUGGGAUUAGCUAGUAGGUGGGGUAACGGCUCACCUAGGCGACGAUCCCUAGCUGGUCUGAGAGGAUGACCAGCCACACUGGAACUGAGACACGGUCCAGACUCCUACGGGAGGCAGCAGUGGGGAAUAUUGCACAAUGGGCGCAAGCCUGAUGCAGCCAUGCCGCGUGUAUGAAGAAGGCCUUCGGGUUGUAAAGUACUUUCAGCGGGGAGGAAGGGAGUAAAGUUAAUACCUUUGCUCAUUGACGUUACCCGCAGAAGAAGCACCGGCUAACUCCGU
rnacentral:rRNA from 1 species